rnacentral:rRNA from 1 species
GGGGAAUAUUGGACAAUGGGCGCAAGCCUGAUCCAGCCAUGCCGCGUGUGUGAAGAAGGCCUUCGGGUUGUAAAGCACUUUUGUACGGGAAGAAAAGCACUCGGUUAAUACCCGGGUGUCAUGACGGUACCGUAAGAAUAAGCACCGGCUAACUUCGUGCCAGCAGCCGCGGUAACACGUAGGGAGCAAGCGUUGUUCGGAUUUACUGGGCGUAAAGGGCGCGUAGGCGGCAAAUCAAGUCAGCUGUGAAAUCUCCGAGCUUAACUCGGAACGGUCAGCUGAUACUGUUUUGCUAGAGUGCAGAAGGGGCAAUCGGAAUUCUUGGUGUAGCGGUGAAAUGCGUAGAUAUCAAGAGGAACACCUGAGGUGAAGACGGGUUGCUGGGCUGACACUGACGCUGAGGCGCGAAAGCCAGGGGAGCAA